GGGACACGUGGUAUCCUGUCUGAAUAUGGGGGGACCAUCCUCCAAGGCUAAAUACUCCUGACUGACCGAUAGUGAACCAGUACCGUGAGGGAAAGGCGAAAAGAACCCCGGCGAGGGGAGUGAAAAAGAACCUGAAACCGUGUACGUACAAGCAGUGGGAGCACGCUUAGGCGUGUGACUGCGUACCUUUUGUAUAAUGGGUCAGCGACUUAUAUUCUGUAGCAAGGUUAACCGAAUAGGGGAGCCGAAGGGAAACCGAGUCUUAACUGGGCGUUAAGUUGCAGGGUAUAGACCCGAAACCCGGUGAUCUAGCCAUGGGCAGGUUGAAGGUUGGGUAACACUAACUGGAGGACCGAACCGACUAAUGUUGAAAAAUUAGCGGAUGACUUGUGGCUGGGGGUGAAAGGCCAAUCAAACCGGGAGAUAGCUGGUUCUCCCCGAAAGCUAUUUAGGUAGCGCCUCGUGAAUUCAUCUCCGGGGGUAGAGCACUGUUUCGGCAAGGGGGUCAUCCCGACUUACCAACCCGAUGCAAACUGCGAAUACCGGAGAAUGUUAUCACGGGAGACACACGGCGGGUGCUAACGUCCGUCGUGAAGAGGGAAACAACCCAGACCGCCAGCUAAGGUCCCAAAGUCAUGGUUAAGUGGGAAACGAUGUGGGAAGGCCCAGACAGCCAGGAUGUUGGCUUAGAAGCAGCCAUCAUUUAAAGAAAGCGUAAUAGCUCACUGGUCGAGUCGGCCUGCGCGGAAGAUGUAACGGGGCUAAACCAUGCACCGAAGCUGCGGCAGCGACGCUUAUGCGUUGUUGGGUAGGGGAGCGUUCUGUAAGCCUGCGAAGGUGUGCUGUGAGGCAUGCUGGAGGUAUCAGAAGUGCGAAUGCUGACAUAAGUAACGAUAAAGCGGGUGAAAAGCCCGCUCGCCGGAAGACCAAGGGUUCCUGUCCAACGUUAAUCGGGGCAGGGUGAGUCGACCCCUAAGGCGAGGCCGAAAGGCGUAGUCGAUGGGAAACAGGUUAAUAUUCCUGUACUUGGUGUUACUGCGAAGGGGGGACGGAGAAGGCUAUGUUGGCCGGGCGACGGUUGUCCCGGUUUAAGCGUGUAGGCUGGUUUUCCAGGCAAAUCCGGAAAAUCAAGGCUGAGGCGUGAUGACGAGGCACUACGGUGCUGAAGCAACAAAUGCCCUGCUUCCAGGAAAAGCCUCUAAGCAUCAGGUAACAUCAAAUCGUACCCCAAACCGACACAGGUGGUCAGGUAGAGAAUACCAAGGCGCUUGAGAGAACUCGGGUGAAGGAACUAGGCAAAAUGGUGCCGUAACUUCGGGAGAAGGCACGCUGAUAUGUAGGUGAAGUCCCUCGCGGAUGGAGCUGAAAUCAGUCGAAGAUACCAGCUGGCUGCAACUGUUUAUUAAAAACACAGCACUGUGCAAACACGAAAGUGGACGUAUACGGUGUGACGCCUGCCCGGUGCCGGAAGGUUAAUUGAUGGGGUUAG
rnacentral:rRNA from 1 species